AGAGUUUGAUCCUGGCUCAGGAUGAACGCUGGCGGCGUAUCUAAGGCAUGCAAGUCGAACGGGCAGAUUGAUUCCGCAAGGAUUUGAUCUGUCAGUGGCAAACGGGUGAGUAACACAUUGGUAACCUACCCCAAAGUUCGGAAUAACGUUCCGAAAGGAACGCUAAUACCGGAUGUGGUCCCGCAUCUCAUGAUGCGGGAAGAAAGCCCAAAAGGCGCUUCGGGAGGGACCUAUGGCUUAUCAGCUAGUUGGCGGGGUAAUAGCCCACCAAGGCUACGACGAGUAACGGGUGUGAGAGCACGACCCGUCUCACUGGGACUGAGACACUGCCCAGACACCUACGGGUGGCUGCAGUCAAGAAUAUUCCACAAUGGGGGAAACCCUGAUGGAGCGACGCCGCGUGCAGGAUGAAGGGCUUCGGCCUGUAAACUGCUUUUCUAAGGGACGAAGCUUCGGCUGACGGUACCUUGGGAAUAAGAGGUUGCUAACUCUGUGCCAGCAGCAGCGGUAAUACAGAGACCUCGAGCGUUAUCCGGAUUUAUUGGGCGUAAAGGGUCCGCAGGUUGUCUGUUAAGUUUCUCGUCAAAUCCUUGGGCUCAACCCAGGAACCGCGAGGAAAACUGGCAGACUAGAGGGUGGGAGAGGCAAGCAGAAUUACCGGUGUAGUAGUAAAAUGCGUUAAUAUCGGUAAGAAUACCAAAGGCGAAGGCAGCUUGCUGGAACACUUCUGACACUCAGGGACGAAAGCGUGGGGAGCGAAGCGGAUUAGAUACCCGCGUAGUCCACGCCCUAAACGAUGGAUGCUGGAUUUUGGGAGUAUCGACCCUCCCAGAGUCGUCAAAACAAGCUAACGCGUUAAGCAUCCCGCCUGGGGAGUACGGUCGCAAGACUAAAACUCAAAGGAAUUGACGG
rnacentral:rRNA from 1 species